AGUGGAAUAGCUGGGUCAAAUGAUGGUUCCAUUCCAAGUUUUCUAAGGAAUCUCAAUACUCCUUUCCAGAUUGGCUGCAUCAAUUUGCAAUCCAACCAGCAGU
rnacentral:pre_miRNA from 1 species